GUGUGUGUGUGUGCUGAAGUGAAGGGUCCGGUUGGCUCCUGCCCGCGGGGGGCCUCUUGCUCUUCUGUUGAGUAUGUGUGUGUGUGUAUGUGUGUGUGCGUUGAAAAUGAAAUUAUGGGCGAGGGGUGGAGAAGGCAGGCGGGGCCUUCAUAGGGAUGAGGCAAGCGGGAGUAUGUCCAUUAGAAGGCUAUUCAAGUUGCGGUUGGAGAGCGGUUCUCGUAACUAAAUUGCCGCGCUUGCCGUCCCGGUGCUCCGUCGACUUUCGAAGGGAAGACGAAACGCGGAGGAAGAGGAAAAGUGAAA
ensembl:ncRNA F17E5.4 ncRNA